rnacentral:rRNA from 1 species
GAAACUGCGAAUGGCUCAUUAAAUCAGUUAUCGUUUAUUUGAUAAUACCUUACUACUUGGAUAACCGUGGUAAUUCUAGAGCUAAUACAUGCUGAAAAUCCCGACUUCGGAAGGGAUGUGUUUAUUAGAUAAAAAACCAAUGCCCUUCGGGGCUUUUUGGUGAUUCAUGAUAACUUUACGGAUCGCAUAGCCUUGCGCUGGCGACGGUUCAUUCAAAUUUCUGCCCUAUCAACUUUCGAUGGUAAGGUAUUGGCUUACCAUGGUUUCAACGGGUAACGGGGAAUUAGGGUUCGAUUCCGGAGAGGGAGCCUGAGAAACGGCUACCACAUCCAAGGAAGGCAGCAGGCGCGCAAAUUACCCAAUCCCGACACGGGGAGGUAGUGACAAUAAAUACUGAUACAGGGCUCUUUUGGGUCUUGUAAUUGGAAUGGGUACAAUUUAAACCUCUUAACGAGGAACAAUUGGAGGGCAAGUCUGGUGCCAGCAGCCGCGGUAAUUCCAGCCCCAAUAGCGUAUAUUAAAGUUGUUGCAGUUAAAAAGCUCGUAGUUGAAACUUGGGCCUGGCUGGCGGGUCCGCCUCAC